CAGCAGCCGCGGUAAUACGAAGGGGGCUAGCGUUGCUCGGAAUGACUGGGCGUAAAGGGCGCGUAGGCGGCGGCCAAAGUCAGGCGUGAAAUUCCCGGGCUCAACCUUGGGGCUGCGUUUGAUACUUGGUUGCUUGAGUGGGGAAGAGGGUCGUGGAAUUCCCAGUGUAGAGGUGAAAUUCGUAGAUAUUGGAAAGAACACCGGUGGCGAAGGCGGCGACCUGGUCUUUAACUGACGCUGAGGCGCGAAAGCGUGGGGAGCAAACAGGAUUAGAUACCCCUGUAGUCCCUGUCUCUUAUAA
rnacentral:rRNA from 1 species